AUUGCUGAGGCAGCAAAUUACAAAAACUGCUUGCUCUCUGCGACCAGCUAUCUGAUCUCCCUGGAGGUCUCCCCGACGCCGAAGCUCUCCCAGAAUUUAUCGGGCUCCCCUCUUAUCACUGUCCACCUCCGGCACCAUUUGACUCAAAGGCAGUACAUUGAGGCCACCAAUGAGAGCAACCGAAUCUUCCUGUAUUGCGCCUUCCUGGACUUCAGCUCUGGAGAAGGCAUCUGGUCGAACCAGGGCUGUGCGCUCACGGAGGGGAACCUCAGCUAUUCCAUCUGCCGCUGCACUCACCUCACCAACUUUGCUAUCCUGAUGCAGGUGGUCCCG